rnacentral:rRNA from 1 species
GCAUAUCAAUAAGCGGAGGAAAAGAAACUAACAAGGAUUCCCCUAGUAACUGCGAGUGAAGCGGGAAAAGCUCAAAUUUAAAAUCUGGCGGUCUUUGGCCGUCCGAGUUGUAGUCUGGAGAAGCGUCUUCCGCGYUGGACCGUGUACAAGUCUCUUGGAACAGAGCGUCAUAGAGGGUGAGAAUCCCGUCUUUGACACGGACUACCAAUGCUUUGUGAUGCGCUCUCAAAGAGUCGCGUUGUUUGGGAAUGCAGCGCAAAAUGGGAGGUGAAUUCCUUCUAAAGCUAAAUAUUGGCGAGAGACCGAUAGCGAACAAGUACCGUGAGGGAAAGAUGAAAAGCACUUUGGAAAGAGAGUUAAACAGUACGUGAAAUUGCUAAAAGGGAAACGYUUGAAGUCAGUCGCGUCGUCCGGAACUCAGCUUUGCUUCGGCUUAGUGCACUUUCCGGUUGACGGGCCAGCAUCGAUUUUGACCGCUGGAAAAGGGCUGGAGGAAUGUGGCACCUUCGGGUGUGUUAUAGCCUUCAGUCGCAUACAGCGGUUGGGAUCGAGGAACGCAGCGCGCCUUAUGGCUGGGGUUCGCCCACAUUCGCGCUUAGGAUGCUGGCAUAAUGGCUUUAAACGACCCGUCUUGAAACACGGACC